rnacentral:rRNA from 1 species
AUACGGAGGAUGCAAGCGUUAUCCGGAUUUAUUGGGUUUAAAGGGUGCGUAGGCGGUUUGCUAAGCGGGAGGUGAAAUGCCGGCGCUCAACGUCGGAAGUGCCUCCCGAACUGGUGGACUUGAAUGACUCUGCCGUGGGAGGAAUGUGUAGUGUAGCGGUGAAAUGCUUAGAGAUUACACAGAACACCGAUUGCAAAGGCAUCUCACGAAGGGUUGAUUGACGCUGAGGCACGAAAGCGUGGGGAUCAAACAGGAUUAGAUACCCUGGUAGUCCACGCAGUAAACGAUGAUGGCUAACCGCUGGGCUUAUCAGUUCAGUGGCCAAGCGAAAGCGAUAAGCCAUCCACCUGGGGAGUACGACCGCAAGGUUGAAACUCAAAUGAAUUGACGGGG